UGCUAAAAGGCUCUUCAGUCCCUCGCAGCUGGGUCCUGCUCGCUGAGAGGCAGCUGAGCCUUUUUAACGAGGCAUGAAGGGUGGGGUGGGUUUCCCCGAUGGCUCUGGGUGCUGCCGGCUUCAGGCUGAGGGAGUUAUUUUAGGGUUUCUUCCUUUCCUUGUGUUUGUAGUCCUUGGAAUGUAGGCUCAUCUCUGGUCUGCGGCUGUUCCACUGAUGGUAUGAAGGCAAGUGUGAGAUGGAGCCAGUACCCAUUUGGCUCUUGAUGGGGCUGUGUGUGUUCUGGUGCGCUGACUGGGUCUGCUGGGUGCUGUGGAAAUACAUAAAGAAAAGAAAAAUCAAUCUUUCCCCAGAGUUCUCCCACUCUUGAAUUAAAGCACCAUCAGUAAAUGACAGACUGUGGCUGGGAGGGGCUCAAACAAGCACAUGGGGAGAGCACCAGGAGGAAGAGGAGGUCGGGCUGCUGUACCUGUGUUUUUGUUUAGACUAGGAGUGCUGCAGCUGAGCUUGUCUCCUGCCCAAAAUGGGGAAGCUCAGGAGAGACCAGCCCUGCCAGGAAUGGGGAUGUGUUGGGGGGAGCAGCAGUCCUGGAGGGUGGGGUGAGGGACUGUGGCAGGGCAGGCAGGAGGAGAGUGGCAGCACCUAUGGGGAAAAUACCCAACCUCAGCCGUGGGGCUGCAGGGCAAGAGCAGGGUUUGACCCACCACAGUGGAAAAGCAGGCAUGGGAAGGUGGCUGUGAAGGCAAGGAACAUGAUGAGUCUGAGCAGAAGGGUUGAAAUCAUCAUCCUGCAGUGCUCUGACCUUCAUCUCCAUCUUGCAGCUGAGGGACCCUCUCCAUGGCCAGAAACACCGCGAGGCUGUGCAGACAGAGCAGCUCUGCCUUCUGCACAGCUGGGCCAGGCAGAGUGGCAGGCUGGCCCCAGAGAUGGGGUCCACUUCUGUGUAGAAACACUGGUCAGGAGACAAAGGAGCAUUUGGGCCCACAAAUCUCAAGGGGGUCCCUCCCUCCAGCUCUCAGCUCUCAGUGCCGAGACAUCAGAGGAACCGGUGCCAGGGGAGCUGUGGGGUACGGAGAAGGUCUAACUGCCCAAACCAUGGAGGCCAGGUACCGAGUGAGUGGAUGGGGGAGUGUUGCCAGCCCUGGGGUCAGGCCACCAGUGCUCCUCAUGCCUUGCCCAUGGCCACCCUGGCAGUUCAUGGUGAAGCUAUGGAUGAUUUAAGGGGCAAACCUGUCUCAGAGUGUUCCUGGUCCAGAGCAACGGCUGUGGAUGAACCUGUCUCCAUCCCUGUGAACCGAGCCCUCCAAGCCUGAGAACGGGAUGCUUGAUGCACAUCAAGGGACAGAGACAACAACUGUUGGCUGUGCUCAAUGGUGCUUUGUUCUUGGCCCAGGAAGCAAUGAAAAUCCUCCUGCUUUGAAGCCUGAGGAGGUCUUUUUAUUAUAUCCAGGGCUCCUGGAAAAGGAAACUCCAAGUGCUUUCCCAUAACGUGAUAAAAAGCUCUCCUGGCUGAGACCACGGCAGCUCCUUACACGUGAGAGCAGUGAGUCGGUGCAGUGUAAGGCUGAGCUCAGUGCUUGCCCAGCCACUGGAAAUCACUGAUUCUUGGCAUGUAUGUAACUGGGAUUUGAAAGAACCUUGGUGUGAGUUCUGUUCACCUUGCCCUUCACCCCAGAGACCUGGCAGCUGUGGUGCCUGGUCCAUGUUAGUGCCUGGUGCUAACAGUGGGGGUCAAGCAGACCCUGGACCCUCCAUUCUGGCUGGGAAGCCCU